rnacentral:rRNA from 1 species
UACGGAGGUCGCAAGCGUUGUUCGGAAUCAUUGGGCGUAAAGCGCGUGUAGGCGGCUUGGCAAGUCGAGUGUGAAAGCCCGGGGCUCAACCCCGGAAGGUCGCUCGAAACUGCCUCGCUCGAGUCCCGGAGAGGAAGGCGGAAUUCCCGGUGUAGAGGUGAAAUUCGUAGAUAUCGGGAGGAACACAAGCGGCGAAGGCGGCCGUCUGGACGGUGACUGACGCUGAGACGCGAAAGCGUGGGGAGCAAACAGG